CAGCCGCCGCGGUAAUACGGAGGGUGCGAGCGUUAAUCGGAAUUACUGGGCGUAAAGCGCGCGUAGGCGGUUGUGUAAGUCGGAUGUGAAAGCCCAGGGCUCAACCUUGGAAUUGCAUUCGAAACUGCACGGCUAGAGUAUGGGAGAGGAAAGCGGAAUUUCCGGUGUAGCGGUGAAAUGCGUAGAUAUCGGAAGGAACAUCAGUGGCGAAGGCGGCUUUCUGGACCAAUACUGACGCUGAGGUGCGAAAGCGUGGGGAGCGAACAGGAUUAGAUACCCUGGUAGUCCACGCCGUAAACGAUGACAACUAGAUGUUGGGAGAAUUUGUCUCUCAGUGUCGCAGCUAACGCGUUAAGUUGUCCGCCUGGGGAGUACGCCGGCAACGGUAAAACUCAAAGGAAUUGACGGGGACCCGCACAAGCGGUGGAGCAUGUGGUUUAAUUCGAUGCAACGCGAAGAACCUUACCUGCCCUUGACAUUGACAGAAUCC
rnacentral:rRNA from 1 species